rnacentral:lncRNA from 1 species
CCUUCUUUUAAUCACCCACCACAAGAAGCUGACACCAAUUCCACUGUCAGAAAGCAAUUGUCUACCAUUCAGUAAUAAGCUCAACUGGGAUGACUAAUGCCAUGAUCUCUCCGUUGAUGUGAGCUAAGUUUAAUUUUAUGCCCCUAGAGUUUUUCUUCUUCUUCUUCUUCUUCUUCUUCUUCUUCUUCUUCUUCUUCUUCUUCUUAUUUUUAGAUGAUUUUAGCCAACAAGAAAUUGCUUACUUUAUCGAAGUAUUUUUAGAGUUUGUUUUUGCUUUCUCAUUUCUUUUUCUAACACAUUAGUGACUCGAUUGAAACGAUCCAAUUUUCUUUUCCACUCAGAACAAAAUUCUAAAUUAUAAUAUCACCGUCAUUUAUGUACGUACCUUCCAAAAAAUAAUAUUAUAAAUCUUAUAUUUUUCUCUCAUCAAACUUAAGUAUGCAAUCUUAUAUCUAAAUAAAAAAAAAAAUUUCAUGACUUAAUCUGAAUCACCCAAAUUAGAGUAAGGCCCGCCCUCUGAAUAAAAGAGGACUUUGAAACCCGAUCUUGAAAAGAUAAUGCAACAGAUGUUCAAAAGCUUGAAAUCAAGAUCAAAUGCUAACCAAAAACAUGGGCAGUUUCAACUUUAGUCUCAUGUGUGGUAAGUUCUUGAUCCACCAACGAUUCAUCAGUUGAGAGUGUCUCAAACCACUAAGAGAUAGCAGCAUUCUAUUCGUCAUCAUAGCCAACAUCAAGAAGAAGAAGAAGAAGAAGAAGAAGAAGAAGAAGAAGAAGAAGAAGAAAAAGGUUCGGAGUGCACCAUUUAUUCUUCCAAUGGCUUGAAAAGAUGAUGCGUCAAUCAUGUUCGUAUAUGGACUCAACUAGUUCCACAUAUCAUGUAUUUUUUGGCAUAUCCGAAGAGAGGUGAAUGAGAUCGUACCUGCUCUCAAAUGUCAUCAUGGACAAAAACAAAUGAGCAAGAUGGUUUUCAUAGGAGACGCUCAUAACU